rnacentral:piRNA from 1 species
UUCUAGAUGUGCAGGAGCUUGGAGG